rnacentral:rRNA from 1 species
UACGGAGGGUGCAAGCGUUGUUCGGAAUCACUGGGCGUAAAGCGCGUGUAGGCGGCCAUUUAAGUCUGGUGUGAAAGCCCUGGGCUCAACCCAGGAAGUGCACUGGAUACUGGAUGGCUGGAGUACCGGAGAGGAGGGUGGAAUUCCUGGUGUAGCGGUGAAAUGCGUAGAUAUCAGGAGGAACACCGGUGGCGAAGGCGUCCCUCUGGCCGGAUACUGACGCUGAGACGCGAAAGCGUGGGGAGCAAACAGG